AAAGCUUUAAGUUAAAUAUAAACUUUUAGCCUUCAAAGCUGACAUUAAAAAAAAUUUAAGCUUUA
rnacentral:tRNA from 1 species